rnacentral:lncRNA from 1 species
AGGCUGAAGCGGCUUCAAAAAGAAAGGGCUGGGAUAAAGAUAAUUGUAGCCCGCAGCUCUCCUUUACGCUCUGAUUGUAUUUAGUAUAUAUAUGAUACUAAAUUAACUGGCUUCGAAGUUCGCCCUAAACGCUCCCAGGCACGGGGCUCGAGGUACACCGAAUUUCAAUGUCUUCCGGCGCCGGCGACGCGUUUUCCCGCCGGCGCUGGUCUCUCUCGUCGACGCUGUCUUCUGCCUUCAUUCCACUGUUUGCUGCUCACUUCAAAUUUCAGAUGCUACGGAGUCGUAGCCUUUUGCAAACCGAAGAAGGGGAUACCCGACGGAGCCUUUGUCGGAGACAUAAGCUUCGGCUCCUCGUCUUCAAUGUAGUCCUCCCGACGGCUCUUCCUACUUGCUCGGUCUGCUCUCCAGCGAUGAGUCGAGAGGAUUCUCUCGCCACCGUUGUUCUCCGGUUCACGGGAACGUUUCCCGGUGAACUCCAUUCUGGCUGUCGACGGAAAAGCUAUACUGUCGACCUUAGCCACGUUCUUCAACUUAUCAUAGAGCUAAGCUCUCAACGCUCAAGCUCUUGCUUUCCAUCUCCGGAAAGUGAGACAGCAAAACUACCGCAUGUCGCUCCUUUAUACUCAUAUGGCUCCAGAGUGCAAUGCAACUCAAGCUCAGAUCCGAAUCUCAUAGGAAGAUCUUCACCUUCCUCUCCUCCUAGUGAGCUGCCAUUUCCCCUUGCGUGCCCCUUCCUCAACGGAGGAUCUGCAUAUCAUCACCGAACGUCUCUCUCUACAUCUGGGUUCGAUGGUCACUCAGCUUGCUCCGGUGAGCUCGUCUCUCCGCCGGUGAGUACCAUCUAUCUCUCAGUCGACGUCUACUGCACCAUCUCCGACCUUCAAUUUCGAUCAACGACGUCUCGAACUUUGCCGGCGACUGCUUCAGAACCAAAGAGAUAUGUACCUAAGUGGGCCUGGCCCAAUUCUUUUCUUGAAGCUAUUAAGGUGAUUACCAAGAACCUAAAGCCUAUAUUUUCAAAUCAAAACAUGCGAUAUAUAGUUGUGGGUAUGGCCUUUUUGGUCAUGUUAAAGAUGUUCGAUGGAUUCUUCGAGAUCAAUAAGCUGAGAUUAUUACAAUAUCAUCUCUUUUGGAAGAAUUUUUAUGUGGGUUCACCAACUCUGGUAUGGGUUUCAUCAUCCUCCUCAAACGAGGAGAGUUUUUCACAACUAUGCCUCCCUUCUAUGAACGGAGAUGCUCUCUCGGAUUCUCUGCUGAGUCCUUGUUUCAACUUACUCACCGGUUUGUUACUUUGCGUAGCGGUCUGUACGGGGCCAGAAAGUGCAAUCGAGACUACUUCGGUUUUUCUCGUUGGUGAGGGUUGUCCCUCAACGUCACUUGUGACUAUUUCUCAGCUAUCCGACUUUGUUGUAGCUUCUUCGACGCAUUCAGACUUUGUUUUGAAUUCGCUGUCAACUUCAUAUGGAGACUUAUCCGGUUUGAUAUCAUUUUCCAUUUUAGUUUAUGAUUUGUCUUCAAGAGGAUGUCUAAUUCCCUCUUUCCUUUGUAGUCCUUGAAGUUAAGUUUUAAUGAAAGUUGUGUUUCAAAAAAAAAAAAAUAUGAUACUAAACUUGGAUUUUCCGUUUAUAUAAAUAAAUGAUUGGCUAUUCAUUUUGAUACCAUUUCUUUAUCUUCAAUCUGUUAAAAUACUAAAGUAAUGAAUGUAUUGCUUAUGUUGGUUUGUUGUGUUUGAC